rnacentral:tRNA from 1 species
GGGCAGGUGGCGGAACUGGCAUACGCACCAGGCUUAGGACCUGGCGGGAGCAAUCCCUUGUGGGUUCAAAUCCCACCCUGCCCACCA